AACGAACGCUGGCGGCGUGCCUAACACAUGCAAGUCGAACGUGAUCCAGAGCUUGCUCUGGUGAAAGUGGCGCACGGGUGAGUAACGCGUAGAUAAUCUGCCUGAUGAUUUGGGAUAACACUUCGAAAGGGGUGCUAAUACCGGAUAAGCCCACGGAGUCCUUGGAUUCUGCGGGAAAAGGAGGGGACCUUCGGGCCUUCCGUCAUCAGAUGAGUCUGCGUACCAUUAGCUAGUUGGUAGGGUAAAGGCCUACCAAGGCGACGAUGGUUAGCUGGUCUGAGAGGAUGAUCAGCCACACUGGAACUGAGACACGGUCCAGACUCCUACGGGAGGCAGCAGUGGGGAAUUUUGCGCAAUGGGGGAAACCCUGACGCAGCAACGCCGCGUGAGUGAUGAAGGCCCUUGGGUCGUAAAGCUCUGACAGAGGGAAAGAAAUGUGGGUGGCUAAUAUCCAUUCCACCUGACGGUACCCUCAAAGGAAGCACCGGCUAACUCCGUGCCAGCAGCCGCCGUAAAAC
rnacentral:rRNA from 1 species